CCCUUCCCCAACUUUUUCUCUCAAUUUUUUGUCUUUUUCCUUAGAAUCAUCGGUGCAAUUGUUUGACACACACUCAGAGAGCAAAAUGGAAGAAGAAGCUUUCUCAAGCUUUCUUCACUCAAAUUCUUCAAUCUCUCUGACUCAGUUGAUGACCGCACCAACUUAGACAUCAAACAGUCUUCCAUGACUAUGAGUUGUUGAAUCACUCUGCUGCUCCCUCAUCAAGCAAUAAAUCCCAAUGGAAGAAAGCAAUAACAGAUUUUCAUGUUGUUUGAACCCAUAACUUGCAUUAACAUCGAAUACAUCCAAGUCAUGCAGCAGCAUAACUGCCUCUGCUGUUUCAAAAUUCAAGGUGCUAUUGUAAAUG